UGUCAAUAAUACAACUCUCCAUCCAGUUCACAAAGUAUAAUAAGUAAAAUAACAAAAAUACUUAACUCGAGGAAAAUUCAAACUGAAAGUUCGUAAUCAAAUGGCAAAAUCAAAAGCUCUUACACAUUUAACGAAUGGAUAACAACUGUCAUAUUCCUGACUUGGUACAGUAUUUUCUAAUACUUCCACUUGUAUGACAGUCGCGUUAAAUUCCGUUAUAUAGACAAUGAUGUGUGAACAAAACAAGCAUACAUGCA
rnacentral:lncRNA from 1 species